GUAGUUGUAGUUUCCCUCCACCGCCAAAUCCUCAAAACCCAAAACCCUCUCUCUCUCUGCAAUAUUCGCACCGAAAAUGUUUAACUGCUCUUUUAAAGGUCGAUACGACACCGCAUCGGCAUCGGCAACUAAUGUUGCUGCCGGAACGCUUACUUUGAGCGCCGGAGACCUGAUGCUUCGAGCCUCUAUGUCCGACGCCAUAUUCUCUACUGGCCCCUCAUUCAGCGACCUCUCGUUCUCCGUCGAAAAACCCGGCGCCUUCUCUAUCGAUUACGACCUCUCUGAAAAGGAUUUUGAGUUUCAGUUUAUGAACACUGUCAAUGUGUUGGAGAAGCCGUUGCACUUGGCUUACACGCACGCGAAGGGUAAGAACCGGACCUUUUUGGAUGGGACUUUGGUGCUCAGUGGGGUUAACAAGGUUUUGGCCAGUUAUGCGCUUGAUUCUGGUAACUGCAAAUUGAAGUACACCCGUGUUCGUGGACCGACGACGUUUGAGCCCAGCUAUGAUACGGCGAUUAAGUCUUGGGAUCUUGCGGUAUCGCAGAAGUUUUGGGAUGACUGUGUGUUAAAAGCUUCGUACAAGACAUCAAGCAAGGUUUUGGGUUUGGAUUGGACAAUGAAGGGUAAGCCAAGCGGGGCUUAUAAGAUUUCUGCGUCUCUGAAUUUGUUGGAGGGACUACAAGUGCCCAAAUUAACUGCUGAGAGCACAUGGAAUUUUGAUAUGUAAUUUCUUGUGUGAAAAGCGUUACUGCGAUACAACGCUAUAUUUUACUUCUACUACUACUUUUGUCAAUAGUCGAAAUGUGCAAUGUAGAAUCAGUGUCAAGGACAGACUGUAGAGCUUCUUGGUGUCUAGAAUUCUUGGUGAUGCAUGCAAAUGAAUCAAUGAUGAAUCAGUCGUGCACAGAGAAGGAUGAUCCGGUCAAUUAACUUUACAUGAAACCACUUCAUCAACCAUACUGACAGAGCAAAAGUUGAUUUCCCAAAGACCUCCCUGGGCAAGAUAUGCAGCUGCAGCAUUUAAAA